UAUGGGUUGAAUCUGAUAAUUAAUGUGCGAUAUCCAAAUAAAAUGAUUAUAGGCUGUAAUUGUUUGGGUGUUUGUGGUUGUUUUGUGUUUGUUUAUGUUGUGUUUAUUUGGCUCUGAUUUUGCCCAGGUUUAUUUGUGUUGCUGCAACUUGUACUUCAAGGCUUCACAGAAAUGAACCACAUUGUUGAUUUAAGUGUUUUGGAGAUGGUUACAAACAUACCUUGUAGAUAUCUAUCGUUUAAUGCCCAUUAAAGCCCGAGUUCAUUUAAGGAAAUGUGAGGUGAAAUGCUCUAUUAUCUUUUAAAUGUUGAGAUUUUUCAAUUUAGUCGAGGUUGUUUCCCACCCGGUGAAUGGAGAAGAAUCACAAUCAGUGGCGGCUUUUAACUGGCGAUCUGCUGAGUGCUAAUGAGACUCGUUGAGAAUGCUCCAAUCACAUGAGGCCAAAUAUAUAAACACAACACUGAUUCGCUAACGACACUGGGAGGGUUCAAGGACGAUUUGAAAUAAGCCAAUCGGAGCUCAGCCUCAAGUCACGUGCUUUUCAAAAUUUUACGGACCAACACGCUCGUUUGUCGCGUCGCGCGCGCGCGCGAACGGAACAUAGUUUUGAUUUUUUUUUAUUUUAAACAAAUUAUUAAAAUGAAAAGAAUUCGAAGUAUUUCACUUCUGCAACAUUUCAUGUAUGCAUUUAAACUCCUGAGCGGUUAUAGACUUGGAGGAAACGACGUGCUGCCCGCUGUGAUGACCAGGAACAUGGGGAGAUUCUAAACUCUUUUUGGCAUUUUUGUUUUUUUGGCCAGUGGCAGUAAAAACACUGGAGAGAGAUGGGAUGAUUUACAGCAAAGGGCCUGAGCUGGACCUGAAGCUUGACUGCCUGAAGAACAGUACAGUAUGUGGGACGCCCUCUACCGGUCGUUCUUGAAAUGGACCUCAUCAAUCUCUUUCCUGUUCUACAAAUCAUCCCUUUUGAUCAGACGCUGGUCUUGUCCAGGAUAAAUAUUGAGAGGAUCAGAUCAGCCCACAGUGGACAACCUGCAGGUCCUCAAGCUGAACUAGUGACCGUACAUGCUGUAGCUUCCAGUUUCUCGAACAUCAUGUCCAAGUCUAUCCCAUGUCUUCACACAAGUCUGGACUCAGUGACUUAUUCCUCUUGUUCAACCAGGGCAAGUAAGCCCUGAUACAUAAUGUUUGUUUUUCACCAUGGAUUAUCCGUCAUAUGGACAUGUGCUGUUUUUUCAAGAUUUCAUUACUAAUUUGUGAGUACUGGACAAGGUAUUUGAUCAAUUCAAACUGUUUACAACACUGAAUAUGUACAUGUUUUCUUGCUUUAGUCUGACAAUGAUAUUUUUGUGCCUUGGUUUACAGUGGACCUUAUUCAUUUAGUAAUUAAUCAUAAAAGGUUGUUGACAGGAAAAUCUAGGCAAACCAA